rnacentral:rRNA from 1 species
GACGAACGCUGACGGCGUGCUUAACACAUGCAAGUCGAACGGAAAGGCCCUGCUUUUGUGGGGUGCUCGAGUGGCGAACGGGUGAGUAACACGUGAGUAACCUGCCCUUGACUUUGGGAUAACUUCAGGAAACUGGGGCUAAUACCGGAUAGGAGCUCCUGCUGCAUGGUGGGGGUUGGAAAGUUUCGGCGGUUGGGGAUGGACUCGCGGCUUAUCAGCUUGUUGGUGGGGUAGUGGCUUACCAAGGCUUUGACGGGUAGCCGGCCUGAGAGGGUGACCGGCCACAUUGGGACUGAGAUACGGCCCAGACUCCUACGGGAGGCAGCAGUGGGGAAUAUUGCACAAUGGGCGGAAGCCUGAUGCAGCAACGCCGCGUGCGGGAUGACGGCCUUCGGGUUGUAAACCGCUUUCGCCUGUGACGAAGCGUGAGUGACGGUAAUGGGUAAAGAAGCACCGGCUAACUACGUGCCAGCAGCCGCGGUGAUACGUAGGGUGCGAGCGUUGUCCGGAUUUAUUGGGCGUAAAGGGCUCGUAGGUGGUUGAUCGCGUCGGAAGUGUAAUCUUGGGGCUUAACCCUGAGCGUGCUUUCGAUACGGGUUGACUUGAGGAAGGUAGGGGAGAAUGGAAUUCCUGGUGGAGCGGUGGAAUGCGCAGAUAUCAGGAGGAACACCAGUGGCGAAGGCGGUUCUCUGGGCCUUUCCUGACGCUGAGGAGCGAAAGCGUGGGGAGCGAACAGGCUUAGAUACCCUGGUAGUCCACGCUGUAAACGGUGGGUACUAGGUGUGGGGUCCAUUCCACGGGUUCCGUGCCGUAGCUAACGCUUUAAGUACCCCGCCUGGGGAGUACGGCCGCAAGGCUAAAACUCAAAGGAAUUGACGGGGCCCCGCACAAGCGGCGGAGCAUGCGGAUUAAUUCGAUGCAACGCGUAGAACCUUACCUGGGUUUGACAUGGAUCGGGAGUGCUCAGAGAUGGGUGUGCCUCUUUUGGGGUCGGUUCACAGGUGGUGCAUGGCUGUCGUCAGCUCGUGUCGUGAGAUGUUGGGUUAAGUCCCGCAACGAGCGCAACCCUUGUUCACUGUUGCCAGCACGUUAUGGUGGGGACUCAGUGGAGACCGCCGGGGUCAACUCGGAGGAAGGUGGGGAUGACGUCAAGUCAUCAUGCCCCUUAUGUCCAGGGCUUCACGCAUGCUACAAUGGCUGGUACAGAGAGUGGCGAGCCUGUGAGGGUGAGCGAAUCUCGGAAAGCCGGUCUCAGUUCGGAUUGGGGUCUGCAACUCGACCUCAUGAAGUCGGAGUCGCUAGUAAUCGCAGAUCAGCAACGCUGCGGUGAAUACGUUCCCGGG